UGGGUAACCUGCCUCAAAGAGGGGAAUAGCCUCCCGAAAGGGAGAUUAAUACCGCAUAAUAUGUUUAAGUCGCAUGACUUUAACAUCAAAGGAUUUUCUUUUAGAAAUUCCACUUUGAGAUGGACCCGCGGCGCAUUAGCUAGUUGGUGAGGUAACGGCUCACCAAGGCAACGAUGCGUAGCUGAUCUGAGAGGAUGAUCAGCCACAUUGGGACUGAGACACGGCAGA
rnacentral:rRNA from 1 species